rnacentral:tRNA from 1 species
GUCCUAAUAACUCAAUGGAUAGAGUAACAGUCUUCUAAACUGUAAGUUGAGGGUUCGAGUCCCUCUUAGGACA